rnacentral:tRNA from 1 species
AUCUAGGAGAGAUGGCUGAG